rnacentral:rRNA from 1 species
CUUGGUGAUUGGAGCGACGGGGCUACACACGGACACAUCUCGAACCCGAUCGUUAAGCCUGUCAGCGCCGAUGGUACUUGGUGGGUAACUGCCUGGGAGAGUAGGUCAUUGCCAAGAGGCU